AAAGUCGUAACAAGGUCUCCGUUGGUGAACCAGCGGAGGGAUCAUUACAGAGUUGCAAAACUCCCUAAACCAUUGUGAACCUACCACUAAACAGUUGCUUCGGCGGGUGGCUUGAGGCCGCCUGGGCUUAACCGCCCGGGCGGCUCCUGCCGCGAAGCCCGCCGGAGGUAUACAAACUCUUGUUUAUUACUGGCCUCUCUGAGUAACGUACUUAAAUAAGUCAAAACUUUCAACAACGGAUCUCUUGGUUCUG
rnacentral:misc_RNA from 1 species